rnacentral:rRNA from 1 species
UGGGGAAUUUUGGACAAUGGGCGAAAGCCUGAUCCAGCAAUGCCGCGUGUGUGAAGAAGGCCUUCGGGUUGUAAAGCACUUUUGUCCGGAAAGAAAUCCUUGGCUCUAAUACAGUCGGGGGAUGACGGUACCGGAAGAAUAAGCACCGGCUAACUACGUGCCAGCAGCCGCGGUAAUACGUAGGGUGCAAGCGUUAAUCGGAAUUACUGGGCGUAAAGCGUGCGCAGGCGGUUUGCUAAGACCGAUGUGAAAUCCCCGGGCUCAACCUGGGAACUGCAUUGGUGACUGGCAGGCUAGAGUAUGGCAGAGGGGGGUAGAAUUCCACGUGUAGCAGUGAAAUGCGUAGAGAUGUGGAGGAAUACCGAUGGCGAAGGCAGCCCCCUGGGCCAAUACUGACGCUCAUGCACGAAAGCGUGGGGGACAAAACAGGAUUAGAUACCCUGGUAGUCCAGCGCCCUAAAACGAUGUCAACUAGUUGUUGGGGAUUCAUUUCCUUAGUAACGUAGCUAACGCGUGAAGUUGACCGCCUGGGGAGUACGGUCGCAAGAUUAAAACUCAAAUGAAUUGACGGGGUCAUAGCUG